GGUGUCCGCCCGCCCUCCAUCCCGCUGGCUCCGCGAUGCUGUCCCGGUCCCGCUGCGUGUCCCGGGCGUUCAGCCGCUCGCUUUCUGCCUUCCAGAAGGGGAACUGCCCUCUAGGGAGACGUUCCCUGCCUGGGGUCUCCUUAUGUCAGGGACCAGGUUACCCUGACAGCAGGAAGAUGCAUUAACAACAGUAGCGUCUUCAGUGUUCGCUUCUUCCAAACCACGGCAGUGUGCAAGAAUGAUGUGAUUACAGUCCAGACCCCAGCGUUUGCAGAGUCUGUCACAGAGGGAGAUGUCAGGUGGGAGAAAGCUGUUGGAGAUGCAGUUGCAGAAGAUGAAGUGGUGUGUGAGAUUGAGACAGACAAGACUUCUGUGCAGGUUCCAUCACCAGCAAAUGGCAUCAUUGAAGCUCUUUUGGUACCCGAUGGGGGCAAAGUUGAAGGAGGAACUCCU
rnacentral:lncRNA from 1 species